rnacentral:sRNA from 1 species
ACUGAGCCAGACCCAGCUGUCCCCAUUCCCACUUCUGGUCCUGCCACCUCCUGAGCCACCUUCUCACCUGGUCUGGGUAGAGUAAUGGCCUCGAGCACAGGUGACCAGAGCCAGAUGGUGAAAAACGGACUGAGAACGAAGGUGCUGACGCUGGACAGCAUGAACCCACGUGUGCAGAGGGUGGAGUACGCGGUGCGUGGCCCCAUAGUGCAGCGAGCCUUGGAGCUGGAGCAGGAGCUGCGCCAGGGUGUGAAGAAGCCUUUCACCGAGGUCAUCCGUGCCAACAUUGGGGACGCACAGGCUAUGGGGCAGAGGCCCAUCACCUUCCUGCGCCAGCCCCAACUUCCCUGAGGAUGCCAAGAAAAGGGCGGAGCGCAUCCUGCAGGCGUGUGGGGGCCACAGUCUGGGGGCCUACAGCGUCAGCUCCGGCAUCCAGCUAAUCCGGGAAGACGUGGCGCGGUACAUUGAGAGGCGUGAUGGAGGCAUCCCUGCGGACCCCAACAACGUCUUCCUGUCCACAGGGGCCAGCGAUGCCAUCGUGGUAGGCUG